GACGAACGCUGGCGGCGUGCUUAACACAUGCAAGUCGAACGGAAAGGCUCCAGCUUGCUGGAGUACUCGAGUGGCGAACGGGUGAGUAACACGUGGGUAAUCUGCCCUGCACUCUGGGAUAAGCCUGGGAAACUGGGUCUAAUACUGGAUCUUACCUUUCUCCUUAUGGGGUUUGGUGGAAAGUUUUUCGGUGUAGGAUGAGCCCGCGGCCUAUCAGCUUGUUGGUGGGGUGAUGGCCUACCAAGGCGACGACGGGUAGCCGGCCUGAGAGGGUGAUCGGCCACAUUGGGACUGAGAUACGGCCCAGACUCCUACGGGAGGCAGCAGUGGGGAAUAUUGCACAAUGGGCGGAAGCCUGAUGCAGCGACGCCGCGUGAGGGAUGACGGCCUUCGGGUUGUAAACCUCUUUCAGCAGGGACGAAGCGUAAGUGACGGUACCUGCAGAAGAAGCACCGGCUAACUAUGUG
rnacentral:rRNA from 1 species